rnacentral:lncRNA from 1 species
UUCAUCAUCUCUAUGAAAUCACGUUCAAGAAGUCUCAUUCAGCACAGAUCGCGAUACUUGCCAUCAGUUUCCAUGUGCCACAGGGUCGGUGAGUAGAUAUAAUUACGCUCUUUUAAUGCCUGUUAUAAAAUGUAUUCUGUCUUUAUUAAUCAGAUUAGCGCCAUAUUGUUUACUCGCUGUAUUAUAUCAGUCAUCCGCGGCUGUCUUUGAGUUUCAUUGCGUUUAACUAAAUGAACACACCUGCUAACUAGUGUGAUUAAACCCUGUCGGUCACGUGACGUGCCAUAGACUUUCAAUAUAUUCAUUUCAUGUCAAAGAUGUAAAUUUGUAGUAAAAUCAUGGUAACCACGACACGUACAAUAGCAACAAAUUAAAUUUGAAGUUAAAACCCAGGAACGGGACAUUUACCAUGUUUUUUCCUCAGUAACUGUAGUUCUACUAUGGUAUAUUAAUAACCAAUACAACAAUACAAUAAUCAUCAAACUAACUUUGGUUGUACAACUGUAAUGGUCGUUUUUGAUGUGCUUUUAUAUGACAGAUAUCACACAUUUACUGUACCAUGCUUUUGAUACCUUUUUAUGUAAAUCCAAAAAAAGUAAAUAAAUAAAAGGAAACAUUUUUCCCUUCCUGCAGUUCAUUCAUAUCAGUUUAUAUUUUAAAUAUUUUGCUCACAAAACAUUAUUAAAAUUCUGUUUAUAAUUCUAUUUUAUUUUACCCCUCUCCCUUUCUUAUUUUUAUUAUUAUGUAUUUUUUUUUAGCUGAAAAGAUGUAAAGGAAGCAGUCAUCCCUGUGGUGUUUGUGGAGAGGUAUUUUUUCAGAAAUGGAGAAGGCAGAAAGCUGCGGAGGCAGACAUUUGCAGCAGCCAAGUGUUCGAGUGAGCAUGAUGACCACAAGUGUGUGUCGAACUUUUCAUCACCUGAUGACAGUGUUUCCCAAUCCUGAUCCUGGAGAACCCCAGCACUGCACGGUUUUGGCGUCUCUCUUAUCUGUCUUGGAGUCUUCACUGAUGAGCUGAUGAGUUGAAUCAGGUGUGUUUGAUCAGGGAGACAUCUUAAAUGUGCAGUGUUGGGCUUCUCCAGGACCAGGAUUGGGAGCCACUGCCUUAUGGGACACAUCUAAGUGUUUACAGAGAUUUUUAGUUUGAUCAUUCAACUUUGCAUUUUAAAAUAAAUUAAUUGAAAAAUUAUUUUCAAUAUCUAAUUAUUAUUAUUAUUAUUAUUAUUAAUAUUUUACAUACAUUGUAAAGGUUUCCGUGACCCCUUGUGAGAUCUCGACAAAAGGUCUCACAAUUUAUUCCAAAAAUUGAUGCAUGAUGGGAUACACUAAGCCUGGUAUAGAGCUCCGGAGCGGUAUUGGAGAUAAUGUGGGUUUAGUGUUCAUUAAGGGCACUGCGCUUUGGCAUUAUUAAGACUUGCGCACUACUGAUAACAGUCCUGUUAGCUUGUAAUAAUUUUUUUUAAUAUAUAUAUGAAUAUAGCUGUAUAAUUACACACACACAUACGCACAGUAAUGUAUAAGAUGCAUGUAAUGUAGUAAUAUUUUUCUUUCUUUCUGUCUUACAGGAUUGUUUGCAGAUAAUGCUGUUCAAGCUCAACAGCUCUUUUAAGAGCUAACCCUCACAAACCUUCCU